rnacentral:lncRNA from 1 species
UUUGCUGAAAUUUGUUAGAAAAGAAACUCUACUAAGUGUGGUUUUAGGAGAAAUUAUACUUGUUAAUUUUAAACUAUUAACUGAUUUGUAGUGAAUUUUUAAGUAGAGGGGGGUCUGCUGCCUAGGCAGCUCAAGUCGCCUUGCUUUGAAAACACAUAUCUCAGAUGUCUAACCUCGGAUCACCAUGAAAUUUAUUAGAUAGGAGCAACUCUAAGUCAACCUUAACCACAAAAAAAUUUCAAAUGCAUAGGAGCUAUGUGAGAAUGUUAGCAAAUUUUUGAACGACAAGGGAUCUGCUGCCCUCAACUUGACAUACUCUAAGUAAGUUUUCCUUCCUUAAUCACCCUCUAGUCUUAUCCUUUAGCACCUAAAUUGCUAUAUUAUCACUCAUUCGUUUUACUAUCAUUAAUUUAUUUUAUUUAAUAAUUUCAAAGAACUUUUAUCUCACUUUGGAAAUUAAUCUUAAAUUCUUAACUUUCCA